rnacentral:tRNA from 1 species
AAGAUUUCAGGUCUGAAGGCAAAGCUUCUAACUUUUUCCUUUUAGCGGUUAAACUCCGUUUAAAUCUUU